rnacentral:rRNA from 1 species
GGUGAACGCCGGCGGCGUGCUUAAGACAUGCAAGUCGAACGCAGUCUUCGGACUGAGUGGCGCACGGGUGAGUAACACGUAACUGACCUACCACCAAGUCGCGAAUAACCAGCCGAAAGGAUGGCUAAUACGUGAUGUGAUGAUUCGCUGUGGCGGAUCAUUAAAGACUUGAUCGCUUGGGGAUGGGGUUGCGUUCCAUCAGCUAGUUGGUAAGGUAAAGGCUUAACAAGGCAACGACGGAUAGCCGGCCUGAGAGGGUGGCCGGCCACAGGGGCACUGAGACACGGGUCCCACUCCUACGGGAGGCAGCAGUUAGGAAUCUUCCACAAUGGGCGCAAGCCUGAUGGAGCGACGCCGCGUGAGGGAUGAAGGUUCUCGGAUCGUAAACCUCUGAACCAACGACGAAAGACCCGACAAGGGAGAUGACGGUAGUUGGGUAAUAGCACCGGCUAACUCCGUGCCAGCCGCCGCAGUAAUAC